rnacentral:rRNA from 1 species
UGGGGAAUAUUGCACAAUGGGCGAAAGCCUGAUGCAGCAACGCCGCGUGAGUGAUGAAGGCCUUCGAGUUGUAAAGCUCUGUCUUUUGGGACGAUAAUGACGGUACCAAAGGAGGAAGCCACGGCUAACUACGUGCCAGCAGCCGCGGUAAUACGUAGGUGGCAAGCGUUGUCCGGAUUUACUGGGCGUAAAGGAUGCGUAGGCGGAUUUUUAAGUGAGAUGUGAAAACCCUAAGCUUAACUUGGGGACUGCAUUUCAUACUGGAAAUCUAGAGUGCGGGAGAGGAGAAUGGAAUUCCUAGUGUAGCGGUGAAAUGCGUAGAGAUUAGGAAGAACACCAGUGGCGAAGGCGAUUCUCUGGACCGUAACUGACGCUGAGGCAUGAAAGCGUGGGUAGCAAACAGGAUUAGAUACCCUGGUAGUCCACGCCGUAAACGAUGAGUACUAGGUGUAGGAGGUAUCGACCCCUUCUGUGCCGCAGUUAACACAAUAAGUACUCCGCCUGGGAAGUACGAUCGCAAGAUUAAAACUCAAAGGAAUUGACGGGGUCAUAGCUG